GGAGCUAUAGCUCAAUGGCAGAGCGUUUGGCUGACAUCCAAAAGGUUAUGGGUUCGAUUCCCUUUAGCCCCA
rnacentral:tRNA from 1 species